CUAAGGAUGGGUCUGCGGCCUAUCAGGUAGUAGUGGGUGUAGCGUACCUACUAGCCUACGACGGGUACGGGUUGUGAGAGCAAGAGCCCGGAGAUGGAUUCUGAGACACGAAUCCAGGCCCUACGGGGUGCAGCAGGCGCGAAAACUUUACAAUGCUGGAAACAGCGAUAAGGGGACCUCGAGUGCCAGGUUACAAAUCUGGCUGUCGUGAUGCCUAAAAAGCAUUGCAUAGCAAGGGCCGGGCAAGACCGGUGCCAGCCGCCGCGGUAACACCGGCGGCUCGAGUGGUAACCGUUAUUAUUGGGUCUAAAGGGUCUGUAGCCGGCCGGAUAAGUCUCUUGGGAAAUCCAGCAGCUCAACUGUUGGGCUUUCAGGAGAUACUGUCUGGCUCGAGGCCGGGAGAGGUGAGAGGUACUUCAGGGGUAGGGGUGAAAUCUUGUAAUCCUUGAAGGACCACCAGUGGCGAAGGCGUCUCACCAGAACGGACCUGACGGCAAGGGACGAAAGCUAGGGGCACGAACCGGAUUAGAUACCCGGGUAGUCCUAGCCGUAAACGAUACUCGCUAGGUGUCGGCCACGGUGCGACCGUUGUCGGUGCCGUAGGGAAGCCGUGAAGCGAGCCACCUGGGAAGUACGGCCGCAAGGCUGAAACUUAAAGGAAUUGGCGGGGGA
rnacentral:rRNA from 1 species